CGACGAUGAUCCCGCUUGCUGGGGGAUUAGUGGCGAACGGGUGAGUAACACGUGAGUAACCUGCCCUUAACUCUGGGAUAAGCCUGGGAAACUGGGUCUAAUACCGGAUAUGACUCCUCAUCGCAUGGUGGGGGGUGGAAAGCUUUAUUGUGGUUUUGGAUGGACUCGCGGCCUAUCAGCUUGUUGGUGAGGUAAUGGCUCACCAAGGCGACGACGGGUAGCCGGCCUGAGAGGGUGACCGGCCACACUGGGACUGAGACACGGCCCAGACUCCUACGGGAGGCAGCAGUGGGGAAUAUUGCACAAUGGGCGAAAGCCUGAUGCAGCGACGCCGCGUGAGGGAUGACGGCCUUCGGGUUGUAAACCUCUUUCAGUAGGGAAGAAGCGAAAGUGACGGUACCUGCAGAAGAAGCGCCGGCUAACUACGUGCCAGCAGCCGCGGUAAUACGUAGGGCGCAAGCGUUAUCCGGAAUUAUUGGGCGUAAAGAGCUCGUAGGCGGUUUGUCGCGUCUGCCGUGAAAGUCCGGGGCUCAACUCCGGAUCUGCGGUGGGUACGGGCAGACUAGAGUGAUGUAGGGGAGACUGGAAUUCCUGGUGUAGCGGUGAAAUGCGCAGAUAUCAGGAGGAACACCGAUGGCGAAGGCAGGUCUCUGGGCAUUAACUGACGCUGAGGAGCGAAAGCAUGGGGAGCGAACAGGAUUAGAUACCCUGGUAGUCCAUGCCGUANACGUUGGGCACUAGGUGUGGGGGANAUUCCACGUUUUCCGCGCCGUAGCUAACGCAUUAAGUGCCCCGCCUGGG
rnacentral:rRNA from 1 species